rnacentral:rRNA from 1 species
UACGUAGGGACCGAGCGUUGUCCGGAAUCAUUGGGCGUAAAGAGCGUGUAGGCGGCCACUUAAGUCCUGCGUGAAAUCUUGCGGCUCAACCGCAAGCGGUCGUGGGAAACUGGGUGGCUAGAGUGCGGGAGAGGAGAGUGGAAUUCCUGGUGUAGCGGUGGAAUGCGCAGAUAUCAGGAAGAACACCCGUGGCGAAGGCGGCUCUCUGGAACGCAACUGACGCUGAGACGCGAAAGCGUGGGGAGCGAAACAGG